ensembl:lncRNA
UGUUUACAUUUUGUUUAUGGCUAUAGCUUGUGGUAAAGCGAAUUAGAAUUCCAUUCUGAUUCGAAACAAUGUGCAAUGACGUGUUCCAUCUCUAUGCGACCGAGAGGGUCACAAUGCCGACGCUUCACAUGGAACUCCAGAACCCAAGAGAUAUGUCCAGAACUCUCAAUAAAUCGUCAGUUCUUGAUCGACAAACAACGAGAGAGACAGCAUUAUUAUGGCAAGCUUUUCAUUCAUCUUCCCUGAAGACAGACGUUGUUCCAUUAAGGACAACGAAGUCAAUUCAGGUAUGAACAAUAACAUACAUUUCCGUCUGUAAAUACAAAUAUUAAUUGAAGGUGUAAUUCCUACUGGAAAGGAAAUAAAAAACAACAUAGAAGAUACGGCUUUAGGGGUUUGUUGUUAGUUACCAAACAAUGUAACCAUGCGAAAUGAAGUUUUCCAGCUGACAAUGGUUUUAUUUUGGCCAAUGAAAAUGCUUUAUGUCCCAAUUAUCUCUCUCUCUUCCACCCAAAAUGUGCACUUGUUCCCCUCCCUUUACUGAUUUGAAAGGAAAUGACUGGUAUAUUAAAUAUGGCUAAAACUCUACCUAGCCCCUACUAGCCGAAUGUUUUUAGAUUUGUGGGAAGUGGUGAAUGAGUGCACACUUCAGCAGAAAUGAGAUGUUAUUGGGAUGCAUGAAGAAUAUGAAGAAUGCAAUGAAGAAUAUCCCUUAAUUGUAAUGCUGAAAUCAGUUUAGUUAACCCUGUGUUGGUGUUUCUGUCAGGGUGGAUGUCAACGGUGACCCAACUCAACGCCCUUGGUGGUCCAGAGUCAGAGAGUCGGAAAAUUGUUCAGAGCUUUGCAGAGGUACUUGGUGACAAGUACCACUACGAGAAUGCCAUCGACAGCUCUCUGCUCUGGACUGUUGGGUACACCCCCUACAUUCCCCCAGCUCUGAAAGGAAGAAGCUUCCCUUCUGUCGAGAGCUUCUUCCUGGAUGAGUGGGAGCCACUGACACUCCUGCAGACUUCUCAGGUUCUGUCCACCAGUGUUUCCAUCGAGGAAGACAACCGGAUCCAGUCUGCUGCAGGCCUAGUGUCUCAGGUUCUGUCCACCAGUGUUUCCAUCGUGGAGAAUGACCUGAUCCAGUCUGCUGCAGGCCUAGUGUCUCAGGUUCUGUCCACCAGUGUUUCCAUCGUGGAGAAUGACCUGAUCCAGUCUGCUGCAGUCCUAGUGUCUCAGGUUCUGUCCACCAGUGUUGCCAUCGUGGAGAAUGACCUGAUUCAGUCUGCUGCAGGCCUAGUGUCUCAGGUUCUGUCCACCAGUGUUUCCAUCGUGGAGAAUGACCUGAUCCAGUCUGCUGCAGUCCUAGUGUCUCAGGUUCUGUCCACCAGUGUUUCCAUCGAGGAAGACAACCUGAUCCAGUCUGCUGCAGGCCUAGUGUCUCAGGUUCUGUCCACCAGUGUUACCAUCAUGGAGAAUGACCUGAUCCAGUCUGCUGCAGUCCUAGUGUCUCAGGUUCUGUCCACCAGUGUUACCAUCAUGGAGAAUGACCUGAUCCAGUCUGCUGCAGGCCUAGUGUCUCAGGUUAUGUCCACCAGUGUUUCCAUCGUGGAGAAAGACCUGAUCCAGUCUGCUGCAGUCCUAGUGUCUCAGGUUCUGUCCACCAGUGUUGCCAUCGUGGAGAAUGACCUGAUCCAGUCUGCUGCAGGCCUAGUGUCUCAGGUUCUGUCCACCAGUGUUACCAUCGUGGAGAAUGACCUGAUCCAGUCUGCUGCAGGCCUAGUGUCUCAGGUUCUGUCCACCAGUGUUUCCAUCGAGGAAGACAACCUGAUCCAGUCUGCUGCAGGCCUAGUGUCUCAGGUUCUGUCCACCAGUGUUACCAUCGUGGAGAAUGACCUGAUCCAGUCUGCUGCAGGCCUAGUGUCUCAGGUUCUGUCCAGCAGUGACGCUAGAGUGAAGGAUCGUGAUGAUUCCACACUGAGAGACUCCAACCAACCUGAGGUCCAUGUGGCUGAUGUCUCAACCAAGAGAAGUAGACUAGUCAUCACUAUUUCUAUGUUUUCAACCGAGAGUUGCAAUGCUUCGGUCCAUGAGGUUGAUGCUAUUGCUACCAGCCUGGAGCACUCUGCUGAGAAAAUGUCUACCUCUACCGCUGAUGGCCACAUUGUUUCAUCCACUGCUGUAGCCAAUCAGAAGGAAACAAGGGGCGGAUUCGUCUCUUCUCUACGGAGACUGUUCACAAGAAAGAACAGGAUGCCUGCUAAAGUGGCUUCCAAGAAGGAGCACAUUCACUUGGUUGACCGCCUCAAUGCUGAAGUCACCCACUGAGGGCACUCACUCACUGCUGAAGGCAUCCAGAAUGAUGCUUCUGUUUCUCCUCAACGCCACCUACACCCCUGCCCCUCUCCCCCACACCAAACCCUACCAGGGUUGGGGUGAAUUCCAGAUAUAUUCAGUCAAUUCAGCAAGUCAACUAAAAUUCCAAUUCCAAUUGUUUCUCAUAGGAGGCAAUGAGGUAAAUUUGAAUUGCUAUUGGAAUUUCAGUUUACUUACUGAAUUGACUGAAUUGAAAAUGAAUUGACCCCAACCCUGAUCCCUAAGCCCCCACCCCAUCCAUUUCUAUCUUCAGUAAACUUUGUAGAAUUUUAUUUGAAUGUGUUUUGGAUCUUCAUUAAAACCCACAAUACAUCUCUAAUGAGGGUCACUCAUGUUACACAUCUAGAUUUAUCAUCAAAUAUCGUAGAAUUCAACAACAAAUGCAGUGGUUUAGCAGUUCAACUUCAGUACUUGUCAAUGAGUAACUGCACUGUGACCUUCAGAAACAUGUAACAUUGUGGAAAAACUGAAAACUUUUGCUGACAUUUGGUUACAAUGUAACUACACUGAACAAAAAUAUUAGCGCAACAUGUAAAGUAUUGGUCCCAUGUUUCAUGAGCUGAAAUAAAAUCCCAGAAGUGUUCCAUAUGUACAAAAAGGUUAUUUCUCUGAAAUGUUGUGUUUACAUC